CUGAGACUCCUCUGAUGAGGACUGACAAAGCUGUGGCUGAGCAAAAUAGAGCUAUGGACAUCUGCUGAGGAAAUUCUCCUGAGGGACGCUCUUUAGAACACUCACAAAAUUUUGAGUGCAAUCUGGGCUCCAAGCUAAUGCUGAAACUCCCACUGACUUGGAAGAUGCAAUACUUUGGAUUAUUUAUUAUCUCUGAUGCAGAGAAUCUUGGCAACUGAAACGGAACUCAAGUGUUCUAAAAUGAGGAUAAAGACAACUGUUUGAUGUAAUCAACUCUUCAGAAAAAUCAACUUUCUGCCAUGUGAAGAGAAAAUUAAGUAAGUUUAUACACAAGAGAAGGCAGGAAUUGCUAGCUACACACUGACUUCUACAACAGCGAAAACACCAAAGUGAAAAUCUGUCAUCAGCGCAGGUGUAAAUUGCUUAUGGCAAAAAAGAUGCAGCAAAACCCAAUUAAUUCAUUCUUGGACAAGCAAUGACAAUUUUUCAAAGUUGGCAGGAUCUUUUCUGAGGCAGGGAAACUAYAGAAGACUAUAAUUCUUCAGUAUGUAAGACUGAAGAAUUCCAGUGGCUAAUUAAGAAUAUGAGGAAUAUUAACCAAUUUAUACAAGGGCUCAGUAAGGGAGAAUAAAGGAUUAAGUGAYACUGUUAUAAGAUAAAAGAGAAUAAACAAAUUCAGGAAAAAUAUCRGGAUUGCAGGAAAACAGUACUAAGGAGGAAAGAAAUAUUUGUGAGGCUCUAUAAUUAUUUUUUUUAAAGGUGGGAAGGGAAGAAUGUAGUCUAAACAUAAAACAUAGCAUAA
rnacentral:lncRNA from 1 species